rnacentral:rRNA from 1 species
UACGUAGGGCGCAAGCGUUGUCCGGAAUUAUUGGGCGUAAAGAGCUCGUAGGCGGCUUGUCACGUCGGAUGUGAAAGCCCGAGGCUUAACCUCGGGUCUGCAUUCGAUACGGGCUAGCUAGAGUGUGGUAGGGGAGAUCGGAAUUCCUGGUGUAGCGGUGAAAUGCGCAGAUAUCAGGAGGAACACCGGUGGCGAAAGCGGUUUCCUGGCCGAAUACUGACGCUGAGGCACGAAAGCGUGGGGAGCAAACGGG